UACGGAGGGUGCAAGCGUUAAUCGGAAUUACUGGGCGUAAAGCGCACGCAGGCGGUGAUGUAAGACAGGUGUGAAAUCCCCGGGCUUAACCUGGGAACUGCAUUUGUGACUGCAUCGCUGGAGUGCGGCAGAGGGGGAUGGAAUUCCGCGUGUAGCAGUGAAAUGCGUAGAUAUGCGGAGGAACACCGAUGGCGAAGGCAAUCCCCUGGGCCUGCACUGACGCUCAUGCACGAAAGCGUGGGGAGCAAACAGG
rnacentral:rRNA from 1 species